GCAAUCGACCAUAGGAUGUGGAAACAGGGCUUCCCGUUCGCUCAGCCGUACUUAAGCCACUUGCCGGUCCGUUAGUACUGAGGUGGGUGACCACUUGGGAAUCCGGGCUGUCGAUUGUU
rnacentral:rRNA from 1 species